AUUGAACGCUGGCGGAAUGCUUUACACAUGCAAGUCGAACGGCAGCACGGACUUCGGUCUGGUGGCGAGUGGCGAACGGGUGAGUAAUGUAUCGGAACGUGCCCAGUCGUGGGGGAUAACGUAGUGAAAAUUACGCUAAUACCGCAUACGAUCUAUGGAUGAAAGCGGGGGAUCGCGAGACCUCGCGCGAUUGGAGCGGCCGAUAUCAGAUUAGGUAGUUGGUGGGGUAAAGGCCCACCAAGCCAACGAUCUGUAGCUGGUCUGAGAGGACGACCGACCCAGCUGGACCGGGGACACGGUCCAGACUCCUACGGGAGGCAGCAGUGGGGAAUUUUGGACAAUGGGCGAAAGCCUGAUCCAGCCAUUCCGCGUGCAGGAUGAAGGCCCUCGGGUUGUAAACUGCUUUUGUACAGAACGAAAAGGUUUCUACUAAUACUAGGAGCUCAUGACGGUACUGUAAGAAUAAGCACCGGCUAACUACGUGCCAGCCGCCGCGGUAA
rnacentral:rRNA from 1 species